AGCAGCCGCGGUAAUUCCAGCUCCAAUAGCGUAUAUUAAAGUUGUUGCAGUUAAGAAGCUCGUAGUUGAAUUUCGGGGUCAGCAAGUUGGUCGUGCCACUGGUAUGUACUGGCUUUGCUGAUUCCUCCUUCUUGUAGAACCGUAAUGCUAUUAAGUUGGUGUUGCGGGAAAACAGGACUGUUACUUUGAAAAAAUUGAGUGUUUAAAGCAGGCUAACGCUUGAAUACAUUAGCAUGGAAUAAUGAAAUAGGACGGCGAUCCUAUUUUGUUGGUUUCUAGGAUUGACGUAAUGAUUAAUAGGGAUAGUUGGGGGCAUUAGUACUCAAUUGUCAGAGGUGAAAUUCUUGGAUUUAUUGAAGACUAACUGCUGCGAAAGCAUUUGCCAAGGAUGUUUUCAUUAAUCAAGAACGAAA
rnacentral:rRNA from 1 species